rnacentral:tRNA from 1 species
GUGACUGUAGUCGAGGGGCUAAGACGUCUGACUGUGGAUCAGAAGAUCGAGGGUUCGAGACCCUCCAGUCACCCCA